AUGAUCAAGCCGCUCACCUCCUCGCCCUUGGCCGCGGCCGCGGCCGUGCUCGUCGUCGUGUCGGCGUGGGGCGCGGACGCGACGAUCGAGACCACGUGCAGGGACGCAGGGGCGGGCGACCGGCGCGUGGACGUCGCGUUCUGCGUGCGCCAGUUCUUGGCGUACGAGGGCGCGGCGGAGGCGGAUACGUGGGGCCUGGCAAAGACGGCCGUGCUCAUCGGCAUCAACCUCGCCGACGACGCCAUCUUCGACCUCACCCACGGGAAGAUCCUCCCAGAGCCCAAGGACAAGAAGGCCGAGGCGGCCAUGGACGCGUGCGUGAAGGCGUACGACAAGGUGGGCCUGGCCUUCGCGGAGGCCUCCGACGAGCUCAGAGCGCGCCGGUACGCGGCGGCCAAGGAGGAGAUGGCGAGCGUCGCGCCGCUCCUGCAGCGGUGCGACGGCGGGCUCGUCAAGGUCGGGCUCCCGUCGCCGCUGCCCAGGUACAGCGCCGACUGCCUGCAGACGACCAUCAUUGGCAUCGCCAUAACAAACCUCGUCAAGUGA
rnacentral:rRNA from 1 species